rnacentral:rRNA from 1 species
UACAGAGGUCCCAAGCGUUGUUCGGAUUUACUGGGCGUAAAGGGCGCGUAGGCGGCCACCGCAAGUCAAUUGUGAAAUCUCCGGGCUUAACUCGGAAAGGUCAACUGAUACUGCGGGGCUAGAGUGCGGAAGGGGCAACUGGAAUUCUCGGUGUAGCGGUGAAAUGCGUAGAUAUCGAGAGGAACACCUGCGGCGAAGGCGGGUUGCUGGGCCGACACUGACGCUGAUGCGCGAAAGCCAGGGGAGCGAACGGG